GAUGAAGACCGUAGCGAAAUGCGAUAAGUAAUGUGAAUUGCAGAAUUCAGUGAAUCAUCAAAUCUUUGAACGCAUCUUGCGCUCCUUGGUAUACCGAGGAGCAUGCCUGUUUGAGUGUCAUUCAACUUGUCAACCACUUUGGAAGUUGUUUUUCAAUGUGGCUUGGAUGUGGGGGAUUUGCAGGCUUUUCUUCUGUCUGCUCUCCUGAAAUGCAUUAGUGGUGUCUUAAAGGGUUCACAACCACAGGUGUGAUAAAUUAUCUAUGCCUUUGGUAUGAACAGAACUGUGCUGCUUCUAAAUGAAAUGAGCCCUUGCAGGCUCUUUCUUUUGAUGAAUUUGACCUCAAAUCAGGUAGGACUACCCGCUGAACUUAAGCAUAUCAAUAAGCGGAGGA
rnacentral:misc_RNA from 1 species